CCUACGGGUGGCAGCAGUAGGGAAUAUUGCUCAAUGGGGGUAACCCUGAAGCAGCAACGCCGCGUGGAGGAUGAAGGUUUUAUGAUUGUUAACUCCCUUUGAUAGGGAAGAUAAUGACGGUACCUAUCCCAUUUUCAAUGGCUAAUAUCGUGCAAGCAGCCGUGGUACCACGGAGGGUGCGAGCGUUAGUCGGAAUUACUGGGCGUAAAGCGCGCGUAGGCGGGAUAGCAAGUCAGUUGUGAAAUCCUAUGGCUUAACGAUGGAACUGCAUUUGAAACUGGCAAACUGGAGUGUGGGAGAGGUGGGUGGAAUUCCAGGUGUAGGAGUGAAAUCCGUAGAGAUCUGGAGGAAUA
rnacentral:rRNA from 1 species